GACAGAGGGUGCAAACGUUGUUCGGAUUUACUGGGCGUAAAGGGCGCGUAGGCGGCCACCGCAAGUCAAUUGUGAAAUCUCCGGGCUUAACUCGGAAAGGUCAACUGAUACUGCGGGGCUAGAGUGCGGAAGGGGCAACUGGAAUUCUCGGUGUAGCGGUGAAAUGCGUAGAUAUCGAGAGGAACACCUGCGGCGAAGGCGGGUUGCUGGGCCGACACUGACGCUGAUGCGCGAAAGCCAGGGGAGCGAACGGG
rnacentral:rRNA from 1 species